rnacentral:lncRNA from 1 species
GUCGUGCUAAUUAUGCGUUCAGGGAACACCUCUGGAAAAUGAGAUGUGCAAUCAUGUAUAUACGUUAAUGUGGAAAUGCAUGUAUAUAUUUAUCGCUUGCGUUGUAUUACGCCUCGAAAACCUUUUUUUUUAUGACCACGUGUUGCAUGACCAGCCUACAGUCUUCACUUCCUUACGGAAGCGCGGAGAACGUCUGCGCAUGCGCAGCCUCGAAGGAGCCCCGCAUAAAAGACCACGUGGCGCCGAUCUCGUCCUUUCCUCGGACCGCGGGGUUAUCGAUCGGGCGGAAAGUCGAAGAAUUCUCAGUGAUACACACGAUUGUGGGGAAACCUGGUGUAAUUUAAACUGCUUCAAAACUGUCAACAUUGAACUGUGGGGAAACCUGGUAAGUUUGCAUAAUGUUGUACUAGUUAAUGUUUUUGCUGGUUUAACUAUGAUGAUUUUCACAAUUUUCGCCGUUUACCCAUCUGACCAAUUUGGGUUGAUGACUUCUGUGAAUAUCUGA